rnacentral:rRNA from 1 species
CUACGUAGGGUGCGAGCGUUAAUCGGAUUUACUGGGCGUAAAGCGCGCGUAGGUGGCUAAUUAAGUCAAAUGUGAAAUCCCCGAGCUUAACUUGGGAAUUGCAUUCGAUACUGGUUAGCUAGAGUAUGGGAGAGGAUGGUAGAAUUCCAGGUGUAGCGGUGAAAUGCGUAGAGAUCUGGAGGAAUACCGAUGGCGAAGGCAGCCAUCUGGCCUAAUACUGACACUGAGGUGCGAAAGCAUGGGGAGCAAACAGGAUUAGAUACCCUGGUAGUCCAUGCCGUAAACGAUGUCUACUAGCCGUUGGGGCCCUUGAGGCUUUAGUGGCGCAGCUAACGCGAUAAGUAGACCGCCUGGGGAGUACGGUCGCAAGACUAAAACUCAAAUGAAUUGGCGGGG